UGUUCUAAACAAUAUAUGUGAAUAUUUCUAAGAUGCAUAUUUAGACAUGUACAAAAUAUGGAAUAUUAUGUUACCGAUCUUAAAAAAUUGAAACUAUUUUAAAUAGAUUAAUUUUUCUUAUUUAGUUUACAAAUAUAUUAUUUUUAGGUUGGAGCAAGAAUGUGGAAGGAAAAAUCUUCUGUUAGAAAAUGUCUGUUUAAAAAUGAAAUUUGAAGGGAAUUUGUGCUUGUUGAAUCAAUCAAAUAGAAGAUUGGAAGUUUUGCAACAUAAAUCUCUUCUGCAGUACAACGAGGUGAAAAUCUGCAAGAUCCAGAAUGUGAAAAAAAAAUGUCUUAA